AUUGAACGCUGGCGGCAUGCCUUACACAUGCAAGUCGAACGGCAGCACGGGUGCUUGCCCCUGGUGGCGAGUGGCGAACGGGUGAGUAAUACAUCGGAACAUGUCCUGUAGUGGGGGAUAGCCCGGCGAAAGCCGGAUUAAUACCGCAUACGAUCUACGGAUGAAAGCGGGGGACCUUCGGGCCUCGCGCUAUAGGGUUGGCCGAUGGCUGAUUAGCUAGUUGGUGGGGUAAAGGCCUACCAAGGCGACGAUCAGUAGCUGGUCUGAGAGGACGACCAGCCACACUGGGACUGAGACACGGCCCAGACUCCUACGGGAGGCAGUAGUGGGGAAUUUUGGACAAUGGGCGAAAGCCUGAUCCAGCAAUGCCGCGUGUGUGAAGAAGGCCUUCGGGUUGUAAAGCACUUUUGUCCGGAAAGAAAUCCUUGGCCCUAAUACGGUCGGGGGAUGACGGUACCGGAAGAAUAAGCACCGGCUAACUACGUG
rnacentral:rRNA from 1 species